rnacentral:tRNA from 1 species
GCUCGGGUGGCGUAAUUGGUAGCCGCAGGAGACUUAAAAUCUCCCGCCGAAAGGCAUGUGGGUUCGACUCCCACCCCGAGCA